UAAUACCCUAUAGGUUACAGAUGCUGGAAUGCUCUGUAACUCAAAGCUCCGGCGCCUUAGGAUGGAUCUGCGGCCGAUUAGGUUGUUGUUGGGGUAACGGCCCAACAAGCCAGUAAUCGGUACGGGUUGUGGGAGCAAGAGCCCGGAGUUGGAUUCUGAGACACGAAUCCAGGCCCUACGGGGCGCAGCAGGCGCGAAAACUUUACAAUGCGGGCAACCGUGAUAAGGGAACCUCGAGUGCCUGUAUAUGCAGGCUGUCCAGGUGUCUAAAGCACACCUGAAGAAAGGGCCGGGCAAGACCGGUGCCAGCCGCCGCGGUAAUACCGGCGGCUCGAGUGGUGGCCACUUUUAUUGGGCUUAAAGCGUUCGUAGCUGGGUUGUUAAGUCUCUUGGGAAAUCCGACGGCUCAACCGUCGGGCGUCUAAGGGAUACUGGCAAUCUUGGAACCGGGAGAGGUGAGGGGUACUUCGGGGGUAGGAGUGAAAUCCUGUAAUCCUCGAGGGACCACCUGUGGCGAAGGCGCCUCACCAGAACGGCUUCGACAGUGAGGGACGAAAGCUGGGGGAGCAAACCGGAUUAGAUACCCGGGUAGUCCCAGCCGUAAACGAUGCGCGUUAGGUGU
rnacentral:rRNA from 1 species